GACGAACGCUGGCGGCGUGCCUAAUACAUGCAAGUUGAGCGAUGAAGAUUGGUGCUUGCACCAAUUUGAAGAGCAGCGAACGGGUGAGUAACGCGUGGGGAAUCUGCCUUUGAGCGGGGGACAACAUUUGGAAACGAAUGCUAAUACCGCAUAACAACUUUAAACAUAAGUUUUAAGUUUGAAAGAUGCAAUUGCAUCACUCAAAGAUGAUCUCGCGUUGUAUUAGCUAGUUGGUGAGGUAAAGGCUCACCAAGGCGAUGAUACAUAGCCGACCUGAGAGGGUGAUCGGCCACAUUGGGACUGAGACACGGCCCAAACUCCUACGGGAGGCAGCAGUAGGGAAUCUUCGGCAAUGGACGAAAGUCUGACCGAGCAACGCCGCGUGAGUGAAGAAGGUUGUCGGAUCGUAAAACUCUGUUGGUAGAGAAGAACGUUGGUGAGAGUGGAAAGCUCAUCAAGUGACGGUAACUACCCAGAAAGGGACGGCUAACUACGUG
rnacentral:rRNA from 1 species